AAGUUGUUAGCAUCACUUUUUGCUAGUUGAACAAGCUGAGGAGUAAAUUCUUGAAUCCUUUUUUCGUCUUUGUGCAUUAACUCAUUAAAUAAAGUUUCCAAUGCUUUUCUCUCGUCUUGCUUCACGGUACCUUUAAAUUGACGAACAGCUUCUUCACCGACAAAUUCACGCAAAGGAGCUAUACUGUCAAGGAACUGUUCGAUUUGCUUUACUGGUCGAAAACCACAAAGAGCGUCGAAUUCUGUCAAUGCAACUGCCAUUUCUGGCUUAUGAUUAUCGUCCUUGUACUCUUUCGGAUUCGUUUUGUGAAGUUGUUUACCAAGGGGUUUGUCAGGAUGAGCCUGAAUAGACAGCACCUUAUUUAUCGAUAAAACUUUGAAUAAAAAGGGGAGUUGUUUCCCAUAUUUCUUGUACACUUUUUCUCCAACGGUUUCUGGAGUUAACAACUCACUCAACGGCUUACCAGUUUGCAUAACAAAGGAAGGGCCAGAAGGAUGAGAACCCAUCCACAACUGUAUAGAAAAUUCAAUUAGUAUAGAAUUAACCAAGCCUUUUGCAUACCUCAGCGUAUGGGGUAUUAGGAUCAACCUCGAAACCGUAUCCAGCCUCAGCUAAUUUCGCGGCUAAAGACUCGUGACCAACUUUUCCCCAUCCAUAACUUUUAACAUCACAUUUGAGACGAUACAUAAUUAAUUAAAUUCAAGAUUUCUUUAUAAGCCUUUAUUUGGCUGUGAGAACGAAUUAUACGAUGAACGACGGCUUAUAGCGUGGAUACGUGCUACUAGAUGAACCUUACCUUCAAAACU